AUUGAACGCUGGCGGCAGGCUUAACACAUGCAAGUCGAGCGGAGAUGAGGUGCUUGCACCUUAUCUUAGCGGCGGACGGGUGAGUAAUGCUUAGGAAUCUGCCUAUUAGUGGGGGACAACAUUCCGAAAGGAAUGCUAAUACCGCAUACGCCCUACGGGGGAAAGCAGGGGAUCUUCGGACCUUGCGCUAAUAGAUGAGCCUAAGUCGGAUUAGCUAGUUGGUGGGGUAAAGGCCUACCAAGGCGGCGAUCUGUAGCGGGUCUGAAAGGAUGAUCCGCCACACUGGGACUGAGACACGGCCCAGACUCCUACGGGAGGCAGCAGUGGGGAAUAUUGGACAAUGGGCGGAAGCCUGAUCCAGCCAUGCCGCGUGUGUGAAGAAGGCCUUUUGGUUGUAAAGCACUUUAAGCGAGGAGGAGGCUACCUGGAUUAAUACUCUAGGAUAGUGGACGUUACUCGCAGAAUAAGCACCGGCUAACUCUGUGCCAGCCGCCGCAGUAAAAC
rnacentral:rRNA from 1 species